GACGAACGCUGGCGGCGUGCUUAACACAUGCAAGUCGAACGGAGUGGCGAACGGGUGAGUAACACGUGGGUGACCUGCCCUGCACUUCGGGAUAAGCCCGGGAAACUGGGUCUAAUACCGGAUAGUGUGGGAUGGGACCGCGGCCUAACAGCUGGGUGGUGGGGUAAUGGCCUAACAAGGCGGCGACGGGUAGCCGGCCUGAGGGGGUGGACGGCCACAUUGGGACUGAGGCACGGCACAGUCUCCGACGGGAGGCAGCAGUGGGGAAUAUUGCACAAUGGGCGGACGCGUGAUGCAGCGACGCCGCGUGGUGGAUGACGGCCGUCGGGUUGUAAACUCCUUUCACCAUCGACGCGGUAGAUGGAGAAGAAGCACCGGCUAACUACGUGCCAGCAGCCGCGGUAAUUC
rnacentral:rRNA from 1 species